rnacentral:rRNA from 1 species
GAUGAACGCUGGCGGCGUGCCUAAUACAUGCAAGUCGAGCGAAUGGAUUAAGAGCUUGCUCUUAUGAAGUUAGCGGCGGACGGGUGAGUAACACGUGGGUAACCUGCCCAUAAGACAGGGAUAACUCCGGGAAACCGGGGCUAAUACCGGAUAACAUUUUGAACCGCAUGGUUCGAAAUUGAAAGGCGGCUUCGGCUGUCACUUAUGGAUGGACCCGCGUCGCAUUAGCUAGUUGGUGAGGUAACGGCUCGCCAAGGCAACAAUGCGUAGCCGACCUGAGAGGGUGAUCGGCCACACUGGGACUGAGACACGGCCCAGACUCCUACGGGAGGCAGCAGUAGGGAAUCUUCCGCAAUGGACGAAAGUCUGACGGAGCAACGCCGCGUGAGUGAUGAAGGCUUUCGGGUCGUAAAACUCUGUUGUUAGGGAAGAACAAGUGCUAGUUGAAUAAGCUGGCACCUUGACGGUACCUAACCAGAAAGCCACGGCUAACUACGUGCCAGCCGCCGCGGUAA